CGGUCAGGUUUGGAGGGCGGUUGCCCUUUGCGCCUGCGCGGGGUUGAAGGUUGGGCGCUUCUUGCGACGCCUGCGCGGUGCGAACCUUCUGGUCUCGGUAAGGUUAGCGGCUAAACUCCGGUGUCAGCAGGGAGCGCAGCGCUAACGCUAGCAACCCCAGCCUGCGGGUUCCCGUGGAGACAGGCCACGGUUACCCGGUAUUUGUCUCGCCUUUGUUUUAUUUACAUUUCAGGUUGCGGUUUCCAGUGCUUGGCAAGUGGAUACGUGAUCCGGUUUUCACAUUGCCUCUUUCUCUGGGUAUCACUGUGCAUGCAACAGAGUCUGGCUUCAAACGAGAUUCUCAAGCUCCGCCUCCUGAGUACUGGCUUGACAAGCAUGAACAGAACCAGUUUUUUCCUAACACCAGAGAUCCUUAGGAUGCUCCUGGCUGGCUACAGAAUCGACUUAGAAGUCAAUGGUGUGUGAGACCACAGAGCAGCAGCUGCAUAGAGAAUUUAGAGAAACUACAAGUACACGGCCCAAGAUUACUCUCGAGCCAGGAGUAGCAACUGUAAUCCCUCCACAGGUGGAUAUGGGAAUUCUGUAACCUUAAAUUCAAGGUGAGCCAGGCCAUGUUGUGGAGAGCUUGUCUCGAGAUUAAGUAAGUUAAAAAAUAUUUUAAUGUUUAUUAAUAUGCUAAUAUAUUUUAUUAAUAUAUUAAAAUUUAAAACAAUUAAAAAAAACAGUGUAGGGAAAUGGCCCAGUGAAUAAAGGGCUCGAUGGGAAACCUUCCAUUUGAAUUCAGUCUCCAGAAUCGGUGAAAAACCCACAUGCAUUGCAAACCUGUCAUCCCAGUCUCCUACGCCAAGGAGACAAGAGGGUCAGCUUAUAACCGCCAGCUUUUCCACCUGUGCCCCAGGUCCCAAACGGCAACUCAAAGGCGUAACAUUAUUAGUAAAUACCUAAGCCAUAAGCUAGGCCCACUCCCCAGCUAACUCAAGUUAAAUCCCGUUUAUUCUAACCUGAAUUCAGCUACGUGGCUGGCUUCCUCUCCUCAGCUUAUUGACCAUCAGUUUUUUUAUUGAUAGGUGAUGCUUCCACAGGGUACUCAGGAGAUUAUCCCUAUAUCACCUGGAAACAAGGCUUGCUAGAAGUCUCGGAGCCCAUAUAAGUAUGUGGGUCAAUGUACUGGCUGGUUUUGUGUGUCAACUGGACACAAGCUGGAGUUAUCACAGAGAAAGGAGCCUCCAUUGAA
rnacentral:sRNA from 1 species